AGAACGAACGCUGGCGGCGUGGAUAACACAUGCAAGUCGAACGGUAAGGCCCUUUCGGGGGUACACGAGUGGCGAACGGGUGAGUAACACGUGGGUGACCUGCCCCUUACUCUGGGAUAAGCCUGGGAAACUGGGUCUAAUACCGGAUAGGACUUCAUGCUGCAUGGUGUGGGGUUGAAAGUUUUUCGGUGGGGGAUGGGCCCGCGGCCUAUCAGCUUGUUGGUGGGGUGAUGGCCUACCAAGGCUUCGACGGGUAG
rnacentral:rRNA from 1 species